GACGGGGGAUGCAAGCGUUAUCCGGAAUCACUGGGCGUAAAGCGUCUGUAGGUGGUGAUGCAAGUCACUGGUGCAAAACUCUGGCUCAACCGGAGGAAAGCCAGUGAAACUGCAUGACUAGAGUGUGGGAGAGGUAGAAGGAAUUCCCUGAGUAGCGGUGAAAUGCGUAGAUACAGGGAAGAACACCGGAGGCGAAAGCGCUCUACUGGAACACAACUGACACUGAGAGACGAAAGCUAGGGGAGCAGAUGGG
rnacentral:rRNA from 1 species